AUUGAACGCUGGCGGCAGGCCUAACACAUGCAAGUCGAGCGGAUGAAGGGAGCUUGCUCCUGGAUUCAGCGGCGGACGGGUGAGUAAUGCCUAGGAAUCUGCCUGGUAGUGGGGGAUAACGUCCGGAAACGGGCGCUAAUACCGCAUACGUCCUGAGGGAGAAAGCGGGGGAUCUUCGGACCUCACGCUAUCGGAUGAGCCUAGGUCGGAUUAGCUAGUUGGUGGGGUAAAGGCCUACCAAGGCGACGAUCCGUACCUGGUCUGAGAGGAUGACCAGUCACACUGGAACUGAGACACGGUCCAGACUCCUACGGGAGGCAGCAGUGGGGAAUAUUGGACAAUGGGCGCAAGCCUGAUCCAGCCAUGCCGCGUGUGUGAAGAAGGUCUUCGGAUUGUAAAGCACUUUAAGUUGGGAGGAAGGGCAGUAAGUUAAUACCUUGCUGUUUUGACGUUACCAACAGAAUAAGCACCGGCUAACUUCGUG
rnacentral:rRNA from 1 species